rnacentral:rRNA from 1 species
CCUACGGGGGGCAGCAGUGAGGAAUAUUGGUCAAUGGGCGAGAGCCUGAACCAGCCAAGUCGCGUGAAGGAUGACGGCCCUACGGGUUGUAAACUUCUUUUGUCAGGGAGCAAUUGAGUCCACGUGUGGGCUUAGCGAGAGUACCUGAAGAAAAAGCAUCGGCUAACUCCGUGCCAGCAGCCGCGGUAAUACGGAGGAUGCGAGCGUUAUCCGGAUUUAUUGGGUUUAAAGGGUGCGUAGGCGGAAUGCCAAGUCAGCGGUAAAAUCGCGGGGCUCAACCUCGCUCCGCCGUUGAAACUGGCGUU